GACGAACGCUGGCGGCGUGCUUAACACAUGCAAGUCGAACGGAAAGGCCCUGCUUUUGUGGGGUGCUCGAGUGGCGAACGGGUGAGUAACACGUGAGUAACCUGCCCUUGACUUUGGGAUAACUUCAGGAAACUGGGGCUAAUACCGGAUAGGAGCUCCUGCUGCAUGGUGGGGGUUGGAAAGUUUCGGCGGUUGGGGAUGGACUCGCGGCUUAUCAGCUUGUUGGUGGGGUAGUGGCUUACCAAGGCUUUGACGGGUAGCCGGCCUGAGAGGGUGACCGGCAAAAUGGGGAAGGGGAAACGGCCAAAACCCCUAGGGGGGGAAGAGGGGGGGAAUAUGGCAAAAGGGGGGGAGGCUUGAUGAGGCAACGCGGGGGGGGGAAUGAGGGCUUUGGGGUUGAAAACCUUUUUAGCAGGGAAGAAAGGGAGGGGGAGGGUAAUGGGUAAAAAAGCACCGGCUAAAUAGGU
rnacentral:rRNA from 1 species